rnacentral:lncRNA from 1 species
CCCAGUGCUUCCCCAUUGAGAAUGAUAUUUGCUGUGGGCUUUGCGUAGAUGGCUUUUAAGAUGUCGAGGAAUGUUCCCUCUAUCCCUACACUCUGAAGAGUUUUGAUCAGGAAUGGAUGCUGUAUUUUGUCAAAUGCUUUCUCUGCAUCUAAUGAGAGGAUCAUAUGGUUCUUGGUUUUUCUCUUGCUGAUAUGAUGAAUCACAUUGAUUGUUUUACGGGUGUUGAACCAGCCUUGUGUACCGGGGAUAAAUCCUCCUUGGUCAUGGUGAAUAAUUUUCUUAAUGUACUGUUGGAACCUAUUGGCCAGUAUCUUGUUGAGAAUUUUUGCAUCCAUGUUCAUCAGGGAUAUUGGUCUGUAAUUCUCCUUUUUGGUGGGGUCUUUGUCUGGUUUUGGAAUUAAGAUGAUGCUGGCCUCAUAGAACGAAUUUGGAAGUACUCCAUCUCUUCCUAUCUUUCCAAACAGGUAUGGUUUCUUCUUUAAACGUUUGAUAGAAUUCCCCUGGGAAGCCAUCCGGCCCAGGAUUUUGUGUCUUGGGAGGUUGUUGAUGACUGCUUCAAUUUCCUCCCUGGUUAUUGGCCUGUUCAGGUUUUCUAUUUCUUCCUGUUCCAGUUUUGGUAGUUUGUGGUUUUCCAGAAAUGAGUCCAUUUCUUUUAGAUUGACUAGUUUAUUGGCAUAUAGCUGUUCAUAAUAUGGUUUUAAAAUCGUUUGUAUUUCCUUGGUGUUGGGAGUGAUCUCUCCUUUCUCAUUCAUGAUUUUAUUAAUUUGAGUCUUCUCUCUCUUCUUUUAAUAAGGCUGGCUAAUGGUUUAUCUAUCUUAUUAAUUCUUUCAAAGAACCAACUCCUGGUUUUGUUGAUAUCUUCCACAGUUCUUCUGCUCUCGAUUUCGUUGAGUUCUGCUCGAAUCUUUAUUAUCUCUCUUCUUCUUCUGGGUGUAGGAUCUAUUUGCUGUUUUUUUCUCUAGUUCCUUUAGGUGUAAGGUUAGCUUUUUUAUUUGGGUUCUUUCC